AUUGAACGCUGGCGGCAUGCCUUACACAUGCAAGUCGAACGGCAGCAUGCUCUAGCUUGCUAGAUUGAUGGCGAGUGGCGAAUGGUUGAGUAAUACAUCGGAACGUUCCCUGUAGUGGUGGAUAACUAGUCGACAGAUUUGCUAAUACCGCAUACGACCUGAGUGUGAAAGUGGGGGACCUCAAGGCCUCUUGUUUUAGUAUCCGCGGAUUUCUGAUUAGAUAGUUUGUGAGGUAAAGUCUCACCAAGGCGACGAUCAGUACCUGGUCUGAGAGGACGAUCAGCGACACUGGGACUGAGACACGGCCCAGACUCCUACGGGAGGCAGCAGUGGGGAAUUUUGGACAAUGGGCGAAAGCAUGAUCCAGCAAUGACGCGUAUGUGAAGAAGGCCUUCGGGUUGUGAAGAACUUUUGUCCGGAAAGAAAUGGCUCUGGUUGAUACCUGGGGUCAAUGACGGUACCGGAAGAAUAAGGACCGGCUAACUACGUG
rnacentral:rRNA from 1 species